AGCGAACGCUGGCGGCAGGCCUAACACAUGCAAGUCGAACGAACUCUUCGGAGUUAGUGGCGGACGGGUUAGUAACACGUGGGAACGUGCCUUUUGGUUCGGAAUAACUCAGGGAAACUUGUGCUAAUACCGAAUGUGCCCUUCGGGGGAAAGAUUUAUCGCCAUUAGAGGGGCCCGCGUCUGAUUAGCUAGUUGGGGAGGUAACGGCUCACAAAGGCGACGAUGAGUAGAUGGUCGGAGAGGAAGACCAGACACACUGGUACUGGGCCCCGGCCCAGACUCCUACGCGAGGGAGCCGUGGGGAAUCUUGCGAAAUGGGCGAAAGCAUGACGCAGCCAUGCCGCGUGAAUGAUGAAGGUCUUAGGAUUGUAAAAUUCUUUCACCGGGGACGAUAAUGACGGUACCCGGAGAAGAAGCCCCGGCUAACUUCGUG
rnacentral:rRNA from 1 species